rnacentral:tRNA from 1 species
GCGGGAGUAGUUCAAUUUUAGAACACGUUCCUUCCCGGAACGAGAUAUAGGUGCGAGUCCUAUCUUCCGCUCCA